GGAGGACUAUAGCUCAGUGGUAGAGCAUCUGCCUUUCAUGCAGAAAAUCCCAGGUUCAACCCCUGGUGUCUCCA